rnacentral:rRNA from 1 species
AUUGAACGCUGGCGGCAUGCCUUACACAUGCAAGUCGAACGGUAACGCGGGGCAACCUGGCGACGAGUGGCGAACGGGUGAGUAAUGCAUCGGAACGUACCCAGUAGUGGGGGAUAGCCCGGCGAAAGCCGGAUUAAUACCGCAUACGACCUACGGGUGAAAGGGGGGAGUCGCAAGACCUCUCGCUAUUGGAGCGGCCGAUGUCAGAUUAGGUAGUUGGUGGGGUAAAGACCUACCAAGCCUGUGAUCUGUAGCUGGUCUGAGAGGACGACCAGCCACACUGGGACUGAGACACGGCCCAGACUCCUACGGGAGGCAGCAGUGGGGAAUUUUGGACAAUGGGCGCAAGCCUGAUCCAGCAAUGCCGCGUGCGGGAAGAAGGCCUCGGUGUAACGAC